UGCAACAGGUGUGAAUGGCAGCCAGCAGCAGUGUUGUCCUCCUCUUGUAGCUGCAGUUUGAGAAUGGGAUUUCAGCUGAAGAUCUAGAGAGCUGGGGCUGUAAAGUUCUGGCUGCCACAGGUCUGGGGGUUUGCUGUUGUAGGGUUGCUCAUGUGCUGUGCCAGCGCCCAGCAAGGGACAGUCAGUGCAAUCGUCCCAGGAAGCCCAGCCAAUGUCCGUUCUCACUGUUGCAGAGGCAGGUCUAGACGACACCCGCUGCUGCAGAUGCAGAUGGGGCUAAGUGUAGCAGGCUUGCGACACCAGUGGCCGUGAAUGGAGCAGCUCAGGAGCUUGGAGCAUCAGCAGGAAGGGAAACACCAAUGGUGACCUGACCUAGCCAGAGCUGUGCAUCUCCCCUGCAUCUCACCCAGAUGUCCCCGGGCUUCCUGGCUCAGGAUACCUGUGUUCCGGCUGCCCCACUGGCCGGUGCCCAAAUCGUGCUCUCGGAAGGUUUUUUUAAGCCACAUUCAAGUGCUCAGAAGACGGAGAAUAACAGAUAAACAAACAAUUAGGCUAUUGUGGCUCCCGGCUGACAACAGGCAUGAGGGGUGGAAGAUUGCUGCGUUCGGCUUGAUUGUUCCCAGUGGAGCCUGCCCCUGGCAGCAGUUGCUAAACAGAUGGAUAAUAAGAUGAUGAGUUCCUAAUGGGUUAUGCUCGGUACAGAGAGAAGCGUUUGCAAACCCCACAUUGUUCCCCUAUUAGGAACCCAAAAUGGAGGCCCUGGGCUGUCAGUUUUGCAGCCCCCAGAGGCAAUGGAUUCAGCCGGAGCUGCGACACUGGCUUGAGGACUCAGCUGCGCUGCUGCAGCGUCAUUGGGAGGGGCAGCGUGGCCUUGUGGUUACAGUGCUAGACAGGGACCUGGGUUCUUGUCUGGGCUGUGCUGUCCCAUAGCUCUUGAUUUUGUUUAGCAGAGUGAAAUGUGCAGGGAAGACAGCAUGGUUUAGUUGGUAGGGGACACAGUGACCUUGGGCAAAGCACAUCCCUCCUCUGUGCCUCAGUUUCCCCUCCGACCUUUUGUCUACUUAGCUUGUAAGCUUUUCAGAGCAGGAUCUGUCUCUCACUUUCUGUCUGUGCAGUGCCUAGCACAACAGGGCCCUGAUCUCGGUUGGGCUUUCCAGAUGCUAUAAUAAUAAUUCUUUUUUUAGUCCUUGUAUCGCUGUCCCACUCAAUGGGGCUGGCUAAUCGGGAUCUGUCAAUUGCGUAAUGGGACACCUGGCCCAGGAGUUGAUGACACCACUCAUUGUUAUAUGCUCAGCACUGAACCCUGUAACCAAUGCAUUGAAUGAAAGGUGGUAAUUCCUUGGUCCCCAAAUCAGAGCCACAAAACAGCCAGAUCUGGGGUUCUGGUUCAGGCCACGCUAAAGAAAAGAUCCAGUGAUGCAGCUGAGACCCAAACCUCCCGAAGGGUCAUUGGCGUUCAGAGCUACAGGUUUAGUUUGAGUACAUCUCAGUGUGAAGCCAGUUCAGUGAAGCAUGAGCAUGCAGGAUUCGGGAAUGACACUUACACGCUUGCUUAAAGUUAAGCAUGUGCUUAAGUGGUCUCCUACAGCAGCACCUGGAAUAAGUCUCACUCCCUGAAUCUGCAUCACCGGCCCUGUCUCCUUUACAUGCUUUCCACCAAGGUAACAUGCAACAGUAGCGGUUGGGCUUGAUUUCCCGAGACAUGUGUCCCAUCCCACUAGGUGGGACCAUCUGUCUCCGCUGCCGGUGGCUGGUGAACAGACAGCUCGGCUUCCCAAAUGCGCAGAGCCCCAGGGCACUCCAUCAAGAAGAAGAAAACCUGGAAUGAGUUCAGCAAUCAUCAGUUUUAAUUAUAAUGCCAGCUCCACCAAAAAAAAAAAAAGUGGUGGUUUUUUUUGUUUGUUUGUUUGUUU